rnacentral:rRNA from 1 species
UACGGAGGGUGCAAGCGUUAUCCGGAUUCACUGGGUUUAAAGGGUGCGUAGGAGGGCAGGUAAGUCAGUGGUGAAAUCUCCGAGCUUAACUCGGAAACUGCCGUUGAUACUAUCUGUCUUGAAUAUUGUGGAGGUGAGCGGAAUAUGUCAUGUAGCGGUGAAAUGCUUAGAUAUGACAUAGAACACCAAUUGCGAAGGCAGCUCGCUACACAUAUAUUGACGCUGAGGCACGAAAGCGUGGGGAUCAAACAGG